rnacentral:rRNA from 1 species
UACGGAAGGUUCGGGCGUUAUCCGGAUUUAUUGGGUUUAAAGGGAGCGUAGGCCGUUUGGUAAGCGUGUUGUGAAAUGUAGUGGCUCAACUUCUAGAUUGCAGCGCGAACUGUCAGACUUGAGUGCGCACAACGUAGGCGGAAUUCAUGGUGUAGCGGUGAAAUGCUUAGAUAUCAUGAAGAACUCCGAUUGCGAAGGCAGCUUACGGGAGCGCAACUGACGCUGAAGCUCGAAGGUGCGGGUAUCGAACAGG